UACGUAGGGACCAAGCGUUGUUCGGAUUUACUGGGCGUAAAGGGCGCGUAGGCGGCUUAACAAGUCACUUGUGAAAUCUCCGGGCUUAACUCGGAACGGCCAAGUGAAACUGUCAAGCUAGAGUGCAGAAGGGGCAAUCGGAAUUCUUGGUGUAGCGGUGAAAUGCGUAGAUAUCUGGAGGAAUACCGGUGGCGAAGGCGGCAUCCUGGACCGGCAUUGACGCUGAUGAGCGAAAGCUAGGGGAGCAAACGGG
rnacentral:rRNA from 1 species